rnacentral:rRNA from 1 species
CACACCGCCCGUCACACCACGAAAGUGGGCAACACCUGAAGUCGGGUAGGUAACUGGCUUGCCAGAGCCGCCUGCCGAGGGUGGGGUUCAUGAUUGGGGUG